rfam:Astyanax mexicanus chromosome 3, whole genome shotgun sequence.
CUGUUACCUGGUUCAAGUAAUCCAGGAUAGGCUCUGUACAUCAGGGUUGGCCUGUUCUUGAUUACUUGUACUGGGUUGCAG